GACGAACCGUGCAAACGUUAUUCGGAAUCACUGGGCUUAAAGCGCACGUAGGCGGCACUGUAAGUGUCGGGUGAAAUCCCACGGCUCACCCGUGGAACUGCCCGGCAGACUGUGGUGCUCGAGUGUGGUAGGGGAGAGCGGAACUCCUGGUGGAGCGGUGAAAUGCGUAGAUAUCAGGAGGAACACCGGUGGCGAAGGCGGCUCUCUGGUCCACAACUGACGCUGAGGUGCGAAAGCUAGGGGAGCAAACGGG
rnacentral:rRNA from 1 species